GGUUGGCGUACGCUGAGCUGGACCCUCGCAGCAAGAAUGGCACGUGGGAAUUGACACCGCGAUCGUGGAACACAUGGCUGAUCUGCCUCGAAUAACUGCAAGCCGGCGCGUGCGUAGUGCCGUGGAGAACGAUCAGAAGUCCUGGACGACAAAGAAAAAAACUUCAAAGCUGCCUCUGCGAACCCCGCUCCUGGACAACAGCUGGGAGGCUCUGUGUUUAAACGCGUGCACCUUAGACGUCAUGCUCCUGCCUCUGCAAGCCCUUUUGCUGGACGCCAUGGAAGGCCCUCCACUCGAAAGUGUGCACCUUAGACUACACGCUCAUCAAUACCAAGUUCUUUGUCCUUCUCGGCAUGAUUGUAGUGCCAUAUAAUAGUGAGGCAAUAAAUCAUUUUUGC